AGCAGCCGCGGUAAUUCCAGCUCCAAUAGCGUAUAUUAAAGUUGUUGCAGUUAAAAAGCUCGUAGUUGAAUUUCGGGAUCAAUAUGUCGGUCGUGCCUUCGGUACGUACUGGUAUCAUUGGUCUCUCCUUUCUGACGAACCAUGAUGUCAUUAAUUUGGUGUUAUGGGGAGUUAGGACUGUUACUUUGAAAAAUUAGAGUGUUUAAAGCAGGCUUUAGCUUGAAUACAUUAGCAUGGAAUAAUGAAAUAGGACGUUCGAACCUAUUUUGUUGGUUUCUAGGAUCAACGUAAUGAUUAAUAGGGAUAGUUGGGGGCAUUAGUAUUCAAUUGUCAGAGGUGAAAUUCUUGGAUUUAUUGAAGACUAACUACUGCGAAAGCAUUUGCCAAGGAUGUUUUCAUUAAUCAAGAACGAAAGUUAGGGGAUCGA
rnacentral:rRNA from 1 species